rnacentral:rRNA from 1 species
UUUUAUGGAGAGUUUGAUCCUGGCUCAGGAUGAACGCUGGCGGCGUGCCUAAUACAUGCAAGUCGAGCGAACAGACGAGGAGCUUGCUCCUCUGACGUUAGCGGCGGACGGGUGAGUAACACGUGGAUAACCUACCUAUAAGACUGGGAUAACUUCGGGAAACCGGAGCUAAUACCGGAUAAUAUAUUGAACCGCAUGGUUCAAUAGUGAAAGACGGUUUUGCUGUCACUUAUAGAUGGAUCCGCGCCGCAUUAGCUAGUUGGUAAGGUAACGGCUUACCAAGGCAACGAUGCGUAGCCGACCUGAGAGGGUGAUCGGCCACACUGGAACUGAGACACGGUCCAGACUCCUACGG